UUUUUGCUCAAAUUUUGAGAACCACUGGAUCUUUUCUGGAUUUUCUUUCUUGUAAUGAAUAGCCUAUUUGGCGCAGAAAAAUGUGGUGUUGACAGUGACAAUUGUCACUGUCGUAUCAUUGUUCACUGGUUCGAUAUAUAAAAGGUUUCUCAACUAUAAAAACAACAACAAAAAAAUACCUAAUAAAAUAUUCUUUAAUAGGUUCACAGAUCUUUACAAUUUUAUUUUUUACCGCUCUUCAUAGUGAAAAUGGACUAGAAAAAGCAUAAUUUUCUUGCCACAGCUUACACCUUUAAUAGUUCAUCAAAACCACUUCAUUAAUAUGUUACUAUAAUAACUAAUAAUUACACAUUAAAUUACCACAACUGUAUGAAGAAUUUUAAAAUCUCUUAAGUUUGCAAAUUUCUCAAAGAUUCUAACUAUACCAGGUAUGGAGCUGUGACAAAAUCACAGUUUUUUAAAUAACCCAACUUGAUGAUCAGUAAUCUUCUCGAACUUGGCUAAUAUGCCACUCUUCAGGUUCAAGAAUGUCGUGUUUUUUCUUCAGGUGUCUUUUGACGUCGUGUUUUCUUUUCGUCGUGUAGGUGCAAGGAGUGAGGGAACAGAAAUACUUGAUUUUACCACAGUCGUGAGCCCGAUGUGAAGAUAGAGAUCCCGCAGUCUCGUAGCGCUUGUUACAUUUGUCACAUACGUAAGUAUAGUCUAAAAAUAAUCAAAGUAAUAUGAGUAAAGGUUGUGCUGCUGUUAUGGGGACACGAUGUCCGUUGAAAGCUCCGUCAUUCAACAUUGCCCGUUAGACAAAAAAUGGACGAAGGCCAACUUGACAGUGUACGACCUGUGUCACUGUGACAGUUAGUCAAAUUUUAUGUUGUCCGAUCGCGACCAAAUUUGGUGGGUAGGCUAUGUGAGCGGCGACGCACAAUGGUUCCGAUAUGGCAAAAAGUGACGCAUAUCGGUUAAAAUUCAUAUCUGAUAAAUCUCACUUUUAAUAACAUAUUUCAAAUACGCACCCGAUAAACCAUUUAUCACUAUCUUGUCUAUGUUUUUUGUUGAUUAGUUUUUGAUGGCGAGCAUUUUUAAGAUUUUUAUCAUUUGUACACUUUGUAAAUCGAACGGAGGUCAGCAUUAAGAUAAAUUUUGGUGUUUUAUCAAAUCAACAAUAAUACGUGUGAAAAGUAAUACAACCAUGGAGGAAGGCCAUUCAGGUAAAGUAAGUCUUUGUAGAACCCCUCCUACUUUUUAGUUCAAUAUUUAGACCCGCCAUGACCCGCCGAAAUAGAAUUUUUACCUAAUAUUGGUUUCGAUUUAAAAAAAUACGAACUGGCGACUCCCAAUUUAUACUAAAUUUUUUGAUGCCAGAUAGAAAAAGAAACAUUUGGUUAUUUCUUCUGGCGUCUAUUCAUCAAUUGAAAAACACCUGACAUUUUAGGUAACAUCAGUCGUAUGAAUUUAUGUAAACGUUUUCUUAAGAAUGGAUUCAAUGGAAAAUCGGAAGCUGAAAUUUUGGAAGAAAUUACCCUAUAUCUAACCAAUUAUUGUGAUAUUUACAACACGGAGCAAGAAUCCGCUAAGAAAAUACUCAAAUCAUUCAUUCAAAAAUGGACCAAAAGAUGGAGAGAUUCAUCUUAUUCUUGGCAAAAAUUUAGUUUGAAAAAUGUUGAAUGUUUAGAAAAAAAUGUAUUCAGUGACGUAGCUAUAGACGAAAAUUUGCAAUGCACUGGGGAAUCCAUGAAAAAGAAAAUGUUUUUCCGAUUUAUCCAAAUCUCAAAAAGACCGAACUACGAAAGGUGAUUUUUUUAUUUCAAUUUUGUGUACUGUAUUUACCGUAUAUUAUAUACUUCAUUAUAGACGUCAGAGAUAAUUAUACUUCAGAUAUCCUGGCUUACGCAACCGUUUCUGUUCUUAAAAAGGAACAUAAACAUGAUGUUGCUAAAGCAGUUUCAGCCGCUAUUUCUUCUCCUGAUGAAGUGUUGGCUGCUUUGAAACAAAAUAUUCCCCUAAUAAAAAGUUGAGCUAUCCUAUUUUAAAUCCUGAUGAUUUUACUGAAACUGUAGGGUAUGAAGAUUGUAAACCUGAAAUUUAUGAGCCUUUUUUCCUACCAACUACAUCAAUAUGUUACUACAUAUCAAAUUUUAUCUAAAUUUCGUCGAGUUUUUAGACUUAGACUAGAAUUUGGAGGAGCCUAAUCUAUAUUUUUGAUAAAUUACAUUUUCAAAUUUUAGCUUAUGUCGACCAAUGAGAAUUGCUUUCUGCAAGGAAGACUGUAAUACAGUUCUAACAGAGUAUUCUAGAGUGAUGAAGGAAAUUGUGGAAAUAAAGGACAGUAAAAUAAAAAUUAAUAAUAGUGUAGAAGUCAUUGUAAGACAUAGAUUCUACUGUACAACGGUAGAUGGAAAAAUAAUAAAUGCGGUGUGCAAAAAUGCUGCAACUUCGGUAAAUGAGUUUUUGUUAAAAUAUAAUAUUUUAAAACUUUCUGCAUAAUAUUUAAGUACUUUUAGAGAUGCCCUGGUUGUCUAGCUGGACCAAAAACUUUGAAUAAUUUGCCGAGCCAAACCAAUGCAGAUGUUUUGAAAUUUGGAAUAUCCCCUUUGCAUGCAAAAAUUAACUCCAUGGAAUUUUUACUGAGAUGUUCAUACAAGUAUGUAUAUUAGAUGAGAGAAUUAAACAUUGUUAGUUAGAUGAGAAGUUGCUGUCAUGUCAGCAAGCAUUAUCCAUCUAUAUUUAAUUUAUUUUUAGACUGGCCUCUACGUAGGAAGAACAAGAAACUAAAAAGAAAAUAAUACAAAAGCAGUUUAAAGAGGAAACUGGUUUAAACAUAGGUAAACUAAAACCAGGGUUUGGUAUUUCCCAUGACGGAAAUACACAGCUAGGAGAUUUUUUCAGAACUCGAAAGUUACAUCUGAAAUUAUAGGGAUAGAGUUACCUAUUAUUGAAAGGUUCUCGAAUGUCCUAGCUGCGAUAUCAUGCAACAGAAUUAUUUCACCUGAGUCUUAUGAAAAUUAUGUACAUGAAACUGCUGAACUUUUUCACAAAACCUACCCUCAAUUCAUGUUUUCACCAACAGUUCAUUCAGAAUUCUUUACCAUGGACAUGAGUACAUGAAACAAUUUCCUUUCAUUCCAGUAGGAGCAUUGAGUGAAGAAC